rnacentral:rRNA from 1 species
ACUCAAAUGAAUUGACGGGGACCCGCACAACCGGUGGAGCGUGUGGUUCAAUUCGAGACGAAACGAAAAACCUCACCAGGGUUUGACAUGCAAUCGUACAUUUCCCUAGAAAUAGGGAGAAAUCCGCAAGGAUGAUUGCACAGGUGCUGCAUGGCUGUCAUCAGCUCGUGCCGUGAGGUGUUCCCUUAAGUGGGGAAACGAGCGCAACCCGCGUCCAAUGUUGGAUUGAUCAUUGGAGACGGUCCCAAUUUUUUAUUGGGAAGGAAGGGGCGGAAGAUGUCAAGUCAGCACGGCCCUUAUACCCUGGGCUACACACACACUACAAUGGCGAAAAACAACGGGUUGCAAGCGCGUAAGUGCAAGCUAAUCCCUGAAAUUUCGCCCCAGUUCAGAUUGGGGUCUGAAACCUGACCUCAUGAAGUCGGAAUCGGUAGUAAUCGCAAAUCAGCAUGUUGCGGUGAAUACGUUCUCGGGUCUUGUACACACCGCCCGU